rnacentral:misc_RNA from 1 species
CCAUCCCAUAUUACUUAUUUAUCGCUUUGAUUUUUUAUUUAUAAUAUCUGAUCAUUCGUCUUAUUAAAAAAUUUAGAAUUAUUAUUUAUUUUGUUUGUGACUUGUUUGGUUAUCAAAUGUACUUCAAGUAUAACUUAUCUUUUUUAUAUUUACACUAAUUUUUCAAAUAAAACGAAUGGUCAAACAUUUUAAGCAAAAAGUCAAAGCGACAAGUAAUAUGGGACGUGAAU